rnacentral:rRNA from 1 species
ACGCUCGACACCUACGGGAGGCNGCAGUGGGGAAUAUUGCACAAUGGGGGAAACCCUGAUGCAGCGACGCCGCGUGAGCGAAGAAGUAUUUCGGUAUGUAAAGCUCUAUCAGCAGGGAAGAAACUGACGGUACCUGACUAAGAAGCACCGGCUAAAUACGUACCAGCAGCCGCGGUAAUCUGAGCGGGCUGGCAAGGC